rnacentral:rRNA from 1 species
GUGAGGAAUAUUGCGCAAUGGAGGCAACUCUGACGCAGCCAUGCCGCGUGCAGGAAGAAGGCGCUACGCGUUGUAAACUGCUUUUAACCGGGAAGAAACCCCAGGACGUGUCCUGGGUUGACGGUACCGGAGGAAUAAGCACCGGCUAACUUCGUGCCAGCAGCCGCGGUAAUACGAAGGGUGCAAGCGUUAUCCGGAUUCAUUGGGUUUAAAGGGUGCGUAGGCGGAGCGUUAAGUCAGUGGUGAAAUCCUGCAGCUUAACUGUCGACUUGCCAUUGAUACUGGCGCUCUUGAGUGCGCUUGAAGUGGGCGGAAUGUGCCGUGUAGCGGUGAAAUGCUUAGAUAUGGCACAGAACACCAAUUGCGAAGGCAGCUCACUAAGGCGAUACUGACGCUGAGGCACGAAAGCGUGGGGAUCGAACAGGAUUAGAAACCCGUGUAGUCC